AUUGAACGCUGGCGGCAUGCCUUACACAUGCAAGUCGAACGGCAGCAUGGGUGCUUGCACCUGAUGGCGAGUGGCGAACGGGUGAGUAAUGCAUCGGAACGUACCCGGAAGUGGGGGAUAACGUAGCGAAAGUUACGCUAAUACCGCAUAUUCUGUGAGCAGGAAAGCGGGGGAUCGCAAGACCUCGCGCUUCCGGAGCGGCCGAUGUCGGAUUAGCUAGUUGGCGGGGUAAAGGCCCACCAAGGCGACGAUCCGUAGCGGGUCUGAGAGGAUGAUCCGCCACACUGGGACUGAGACACGGCCCAGACUCCUACGGGAGGCAGCAGUGGGGAAUUUUGGACAAUGGGCGCAAGCCUGAUCCAGCCAUGCCGCGUGAGUGAAGAAGGCCUUCGGGUUGUAAAGCUCUUUCGGCGGGGAAGAAAUCGCAUCUCCUAAUACGGGGUGUGGAUGACGGUACCCGAAUAAGAAGCACCGGCUAACUACGUG
rnacentral:rRNA from 1 species